rnacentral:rRNA from 1 species
GACGAACGCUGGCGGCGGGCUUAACACAUGCAAGUCGAACGGAAAGGCACUGCGAUUGUGGGGUGCUCGAGUGGCGAACGGGUGAGUAACAGGUGAGUAACCGGCCCUAGAUCUUGGGAUAACUUAAGGAAACUGGGGCUAAGACCAGAUAGGAUCUCACCUUGGAGGGAGGGGGGGGGAAAGUUUAGGCGGUGGGGGUUGGACGAGCGGCUGAGCAGCUUGUUGGUGGGGUAGUGGCUUACCAACGCUUUGACCGGUAGCCGGCCUGAGAGGGUGACCGGCCACAUUGGGACUAAGAUACGGCCCAGACUCCUACAGGAGGCAGCAGUGGGGAAUAUUGCACAAUGGGCGGAAGCCUGAUGCAGCAACGCCGCGUUCGGGAUGACGGCCUUCGGGUUGUGAACCGCAUUAGCCUAUGACGAAGCGUGAGUGACGGUAAUGAGUAAAGAAGCACCGGCUAACUACGUG